CUACAUUAUUUAGGAAUUGCAUCAAUUUCUUCUUAAAUCUCAACCAUGCUUCAUUAAAUGAAUCACCACUUGUUUGCGAAAAAAUUGUAAUCUCAUCUCUCAAUUG
rfam:Capsicum annuum cultivar Zunla-1 chromosome 3, whole genome shotgun sequence